CCACCCGAGCCCUAGGUUUUUAACGUCGCCGAGUCCUCCCUCUCCUCUCUCACGCGACGCCGACACUGCCGAGCUCUCCCUUCCUUCGCAAAGCCGUCAUCGCCUUGGCUUGAGGACAGAUCGACAACGCCGUUGAUCGAGGGAGUGCGUAGGUUCCCUGUGCUCCGAUUUACCCUGGAUCGUCGUCAGCGUCUGAGGUAUAGUCGUGCCCUAAUUUUUGUUCUGGUGCCGUGGGAUCAAGCUAGAGCCAUCCGAUCGCCGGCCAUCCCUUCGACACUAUCAAGGUUGGUCCCUUCGCUGCUUCCGCUUUAUGUAUUCUUUUCUUAAAUUCUUCUUUAGGGUUUCCCCUCCAGUUUUGCUCCUUUUCCCUCUUUCCAUUGGAUCUAUGAGGUGCUGGGUGAUUCUUACAAGGAGUUGUCUAUUUGAUCCUGGAUGUUUGUACUAUUAACAGGGAAGCGUUCAAAUUGUUUGAUUGGACGUGUUUAUGCCCUUUUUGCUUGAUGAUCUGAACUAAUUGACUGAUUUGAGCAACAGAUGAGGCUGUUGACUAGUUAGGAUGAAGGUCGUCAUCAUUUCUGGCAUGAGUGGAGCAAUGUGUUUGCCUUUGAUAAACUUUAUACAAUCUUUGCUCCAGGAAUAUGCGUGACUUGACAGUGUAUUUUUUUAUAAAGUUGUCGAAGUCAUAUGGAUAUUCUGUUUCUUUGAUUUUGUUGUUUGCAUAUGUAAGGAAAUAGUUUCCUUCAACAUGUGGAGCAUGGUAAAGAUUGAACUGUGUAGCAAAAUUAUUGAAGAAGAUAGGCACUCUUAACAUUAUCGUUGUGUUUGAAAAACUUAUAGCAUCAUCUUGUGUGGUAGAAACUUGUGCAACUAAGUGCACCAGAUCCCAUGUGAUUUAAACAUGGGGAAGAGUUCUUUGACAGAAAGUGACACUGAACGCUCAAUCAUUGAGAAUUAAUAGGUUGUGGGAGUUCUUAUAUGUUUCCCGUUUCACAUUAGUUUCAUUCUAUUAAUGAAGGACCAACCAUUUCCUGAAAUUGAUGGAAGUGGAAUUUUAGUUCAGAAAAAUCUAUUCAUGUUUUUGAGAUGAGUUUGCCUUAAGUUAUAGUAAAGCAUCUAAUUGGUGCUCUGUUUCAUCUAUUUCAUCUCAUUUUUUAGAUGAAAGGAAUGAAAGAGUCUUGUUCUCUCUAUCAUAUUCUUUUGGGGAAUUGAUACUGUUUCUUGGCCAUCACGGAUGUCAAUGCAUUGCUUUGGUUAAUUCUAUUCUUGAUUCAGGAUGUAAGGAAUGUAUGACGUUGAUGCUUGAUCACAUGAUUCUAGUGAAUUGAUUCCUUUAAACCACUUGCUUGAGGCUGUUAGAUGAGUUCUGGAUUGCAAGUGAACUCGUGACGUGUAGUUUUUGCAUGGAGCUUCAUUCAAGAAUUCUGAUUAAGUUCUGAUUUAAGGGCAUAUGGGAGGAUUCGAUCAAUUAAUCGUAUAUAGUGGAAGCAGUAUUUGGGGCAUUAGUGGAUAACUUGUUGCUGUUGAAAUAGGUUAACUGGUGGGGUUAAGGGAAAAACAAAAUUGAAGAUUGAACGAAAGGUAUUUAAACUUGUAGCAAGGUGCUAGCUGUGUUCCAGAUUAGUAUGACCAGGAAUUGCUAAUUAUCUGUAAAACACAUCUGAGCAUCCGUUAUUCUUCAUGCCAAGGGUGGUAAAUAGAGUGUUUGAAAGUGUACGCUCACUAUUUACCAGAACAACUUUACUUGAUGUUUGUUAAAUCUUUAAUUUAAGGAUCAGGGCAUAAUAUCCUCUGACUUAUUGAAUAUAGCAAAUUAGUUUCUUCACAAAAUCCAUAUGAUAUUGCAAUUUCUUGUUCCACCUAUACUUUGUUGUUUGUUGGAUGACCAAUUGCUACCAGCCAGUGGGGACACCACCUAAGACCGAGCAAUCAAAGUCAACCCCUGGCCACUGUGCCACUGCUAGGGACCUUUGGACGUCAUCGCAUUGUCAAAGAGGAAGAGUUAGGGUCAUUUGGAGGAUUGUCUAAUUUCUAAAACCGGUCGAGAUGGUGAAGUUCACAGCCGAAGAACUCUGUCGCAUCAUGGACAUGAAGCAUAACAUCCGCAACAUGUCUGUCAUUGCACAUGCCGAUCAUGGUAAAUCAACCCUCAUUGAUUCUCUUGUUGCUGCUGCCGGAAUCAUCGCACAAGAAGUCGCUGGAGAUGUUAGGAUGACUGAUACUCGCCAAGACGAGGCUGAACGUGGUAUUACAAUCAAAUCCACUGGGAUUUCCCUGUACUAUGAAAUGACAGAGGAAUCCCUAAAAAACUACAAGGGCGAAAGGAGCGGAAAUGAAUAUCUAAUCAACCUCAUAGAUUCACCUGGGCACGUUGACUUUUCUUAUUUGGAAGAAAAGUCACUCAAAUUGACAACUCUUGUUUGGAAGCUUACACUCAAAUUGACAACAAGUUAAAGUAUGUACUUGUAUGUUUUACACUACCAAUCCCAUUGCUUGUGUUUGCAUAUCACCUUUGUUUU